AAUGGGGGGAACCCUGAUCCAGCCAUGCCGCGUGUGUGAAGAAGGCCUUUUGGUUGUAAAGCACUUUAAGCGAGGAGGAGGCUACCGAGAUUAAUACUCUUGGAUAGUGGACGUUACUCGCAGAAUAAGCACCGGCUAACUCUGUGCCAGCAGCCGCGGUAAUACAGAGGGUGCAAGCGUUAAUCGGAUUUACUGGGCGUAAAGCGCGCGUAGGUGGCCAAUUAAGUCAAAUGUGAAAUCCCCGAGCUUAACUUGGAAAUUGCAUUCGAUACUGGUUGGCUAGAGUAUGGGAGAGGAUGGUAGAAUUCCAGGUGUAGCGGUGAAAUGCGUAGAGGUCUGGAGGAAUACCGAUGGCGAAGGCAGCCAUCUGGCCUAAUACUGACACUGAGGUGCGAAAGCAUGGGGAGCAAA
rnacentral:rRNA from 1 species